AAAUAUAUAAUACAUAAUAUGUGCCCAAUAGUUUUACUGAUCCACAACACAUAACAUAUAUGCAAAGUUGCAUAACAAAUUUCAUGAUCCAUAUAUCAAAAUUUCAUAGCAUCCAUACAUCCAAAAUUCCAUAGCAUCCAUACAUAAAUAGAUCCAUAGCCAAUAUAAUACACAACGAUACUUUGCGGGCAUUAGUAAGUAAUAUUUGGCACUAAAACAAAUGCCUUCAUGUCCAUAUCGUAGUCCAAAGAGCAUCUGCGUGGCAACCUACAAGAUGAAAUCAUUAACAUGUCAAAUUUAACACUC
rnacentral:lncRNA from 1 species